rnacentral:lncRNA from 1 species
UGUUUCCAAUUGAGACUCUUCUCUGCCUGGGGCCACGCCCACAGUGAAAGCUCAUUGGUCCAGAUGCUUCAACUUCCUACACAAACAAACUUCUGCUGUAUUGCUAAAUUGAAAGAAGCAGCUUGUUGUCAUGGUGUAUUCUAAAGUCUGGAUUCAGGACAGAGGGACAGUAUUUUAGUUGCUGAUAUGUGAUGCUGACGCUGUGCUGCAUGAAGAAGUUUUCAUUUAUAAAUGUUGGACUUGUGCCCAGACUGCUAUGGUAGAAUCUGGAAGAAAACACAAUAAGGAGAAGAACGUCAGACCAAUUUUGCAGGAACAUAUGUGGGGGGGAAAAGGCUUUAACAAAAGACAUUUUUCGAACAGUGAAAGAACUAGACCAUGGACAAUAGUUAUGAAUCUUUAAAAAUCUAUCCUGCGUCAACCACUAUUAUCCAUGCAGAGUCAAAAGAAUGCUUUAUCUGUCGAGAAGGAGACGAGAUGGGUUGUGACGCUCUGCUGCACUUCUGUGACUGCAAAAACCUGAUUGCUCACCAGAAGUGUGUGUUAACCUGGAUACAAAAGAGUUCUGAUAAUCAAGAUAGAGCAAGAUGCAAAGUAUGUACAGCUGAGUACCAGCUACAGAAAGGAUCAGUGUGGAGAAUCCUGUUUUGUCACUGGCAGAAUUGGCUCUUCUUCUGCUUGGUCCUGGCAGUAAUGACUAUCAUUCCCCUUGCAGUCUAUCGAAUGAUGGUAGCUUUUAAGGACCCUCCACCCAGUGCUGUAUUCCAUGCAGCAGCUGUGUGCUUUGGAGUUCUCGCAGAGACUCUUCUGAUAAAGAUCUCACCCUCUGCUACAGCUAUUGAAACAUUUAAAUCUCACUCUCUACAACUCCCUGGAGAAGAAACUGAAAGAGCGAAUGCUGUCAAUUAUCCCACCAACAGAUACGUAUUGUAUUACUGCAGCAGCAAAUACAACGAGGCCAAGAUGUCUUCAUUUUCCGUCAGAGCGAGAACUGUAGAACAAUGUGAUCGAGGCGUUGGUCUUCUGUGGCCAGCCGGUCAGAACCCAUCAACAGCUGUGAUGAGCAGAGCAGAGAUGGGGAAACAGGAGGCAGUCAAAGCCAAAGAAGGUUUCGGCCUGAAGCUGUGUGUAUGACUGAAGCAGAGCAAGGCCAGGACCCAAGGAAACCCCAGCAGCAAGGGAAAAAACAGAUUGACUCUCAGUGACUCAUUUAGCUCCUGGAUUGGACAAAUCUCUCCCCUGCUGGCAGUUUGGCUGAGCAUCAAUGAGACAGAUACCAGGAUGAAUAGCUUAAAAUAAUUAGGGGGCCAAUCUGCAAAACUGCUCUCAUCCAAUUCUUUACUGUGUGAUGAAAGACACAAAACAAAUUACAUUUAGAUAUUAAAUAUUAAGUCACUGGAUUUACCUCCAUUUGGUCCAAAGCAGGAAACUGGAUAAAAUUCAAUUUUAUAUCAUUGUGUUGAUGGCCUGUUUUUCAUCAAAUGAGUGAGUGUUUGUUGGCAGGUCAGACUCUUUGACACAUGGGGAAAAUAGGUGCUUAAUUUAAAUGAGAAUUAAUGCAAUCAUAAUUAACACAAAUGUGAACAGAAUUAAACACAGGCAAGAGUUCAGUUUAAUGCUUAGCAGUUUAAACUAUAUGUUUUAGGAAACAUCCUGCUUCAGCUGAAGACAAUGGCAGUGUUGCCACUGAAUUCAAUGGAAACCGGAGUAGGCCUUCUAGGUAGACAGGCAGGAUUCCCUGUACUUUAUAUUUAAUGCACAAAAACAGAAGCAACAAGCUCAUUUAGUAUCAGUAAAGGUCAGUUAAAAUUAUAGAGACAUCCUUUGGAGCAAAUCUUCUGCCUUGUAUUUGCAUAUUUAUGAACUAGAGAUUAUGACAGGCCAUUCCAUUUAUUAGAGCAGCGCUGCUAUAGUUAAUAGUCUGUCAGCGUUUCCAUUAUAAACCCCGUUUUUCAGUGUUUUAAUUUCUCAGCCAUUUGAAAUCACAUCAGGAAGCAACGUAGCCCUUGUGUUGUCAGGCCAGGUGCAUUUUUUUUUAAAUUAAUAAAAAUAUAUUUAAAUGAGCUCA